AGGGCCGCGGUAAUUUGACCGUGCGAAGGUAGCAUAAUAAGUAGUCUUUUAAUUGGAGGCUUGAAUGAAAGGUCGGAUGAGGGACUAACUGUCUUCUUUAAUUGUUUGAAUUUAACUUUUAAGUGAAAAGGCUUAAAUUUUUUAGUGGGACGAAAAGACCCUAUAAAACUUUAUAUAAUCAAAUCUUUGUUUUCAAAUUUUGUUUAAAGUUAUUUAGUGAAGUUUAUAUUUUGUUGGGGCGACAAAAAUAAAAUUGUAACUGUUUUUAAAAUUAGAUAAUUAUAAUUAGUUUUUGAUCCUUGUUUAGAGAUUAAAAGAUUAAGUUACUUUAGGGAUAACAGCGUAAUUUCCCUUGAAAGUCCUUAUUGACAGGGUUAGUUGCGACCUCGAUGUUGAAUUAAAAUUUUUAAGUAGGUGCAGCCGCUUACUUGUAGGGUCUGUUCGACCUUUAAAUUUUU
rnacentral:rRNA from 1 species